rnacentral:rRNA from 1 species
UAGGGAAUCUUCGGCAAUGGACGAAAGUCUGACCGAGCAACGCCGCGUGAGUGAAGAAGGUUUUCGGAUCGUAAAACUCUGUUGUUAGAGAAGAACAAGGACGUUAGUAACUGAACGUCCCCUGACGGUAUCUAACCAGAAAGCCACGGCUAACUACGUGCCGGCAGCCGCGGUAAUACGUAGGUGGCAAGCGUUGUCCGGAUUUAUUGGGCGUAAAGCGAGCGCAGGCGGUUUCUUAAGUCUGAUGUGAAAGCCCCCGGCUCAACCGGGGAGGGUAAUUGGAAACUGGGAGAUUUGAGUGAAGAAGAGGGGAGGGGAAUUCCAUGUGUAGCGGUGAAAUGCGUAGAUAUAUGGAGGAACACCAGUGGCGAAGGCGGCUCUCUGGUCUGUAACUGACGCUGAGGCUAGAAAGCGUGGGGAGCAAACAGG